GAUGAACGCUGGCGGCGUGCCUAAUACAUGCAAGUCGAGCGAACAGACGAGGAGCUUGCUCCUCUGACGUUAGCGGCGGACGGGUGAGUAACACGUGGAUAACCUACCUAUAGGACUGGGACAACUUCGGGAAACCGGAGCUAAUACCGGAUAAUAUAUUGAACCGCAUGGUUCAAUAGUGAAAGACGGUUUUGCUGUCACUUAUAGAUGGAUCCGCGCCGCAUUAGCUAGUUGGUAAGGUAACGGCUUACCAAGGCAACGAUGCGUAGCCGACCUGAGAGGGUGAUCGGCCACACUGGAACUGAGACACGGUCCAGACUCCUACGGGAGGCAGCAGUAGGGAAUCUUCCGCAAUGGGCGAAAGCCUGACGGAGCAACGCCGCGUGAGUGAUGAAGGUCUUCGGAUCGUAAAACUCUGUUAUUAGGGAAGAACAAAUGUGUAAGUAACUAUGCACGUCUUGACGGUACCUAAUCAGAAAGCCACGGCUAACUACGUG
rnacentral:rRNA from 1 species